UAUCUAAAAGUGCCUAAACGUGUC
rnacentral:siRNA from 1 species